rnacentral:rRNA from 1 species
UGGGGAAUAUUGCACAAUGGAGGGAACUCUGGUGCAGCGACGCCGCGUGAACGAAGAAGGCUUUCGAGUCGUAAAGUUCUUUUAUAUGGGAAGAUAAUGACGGUACCAUAAGAAAAAGCCCCGGCUAACUACGUGCCAGCAGCCGCGGUAAUACGUAGGGGGCUAGCGUUGUCCGGAAUCACUGGGCGUAAAGGGUUCGCAGGCGGAAAUGCAAGUCAGGUGUAAAAGGCAGUAGCUUAACUACUGUAAGCAUUUGAAACUGCAUAUCUUGAGAAGAGUAGAGGUAAGUGGAAUUUUUAGUGUAGCGGUGAAAUGCGUAGAUAUUAAAAAGAAUACCGGUGGCGAAGGCGACUUACUGGGCUCAUUCUGACGCUGAGGAACGAAAGCGUGGGUAGCAAACAGG